UACGUAGGGUGCGAGCGUUGUCCGGAAUUAUUGGGCGUAAAGGGCUCGUAGGCGGUUUGUCGCGUCGGGAGUGAAAUCCACUGGCUUAACUGGUGGCUUGCUUUCGAUACGGGCAGACUAGAGGUAUUCAGGGGAGAACGGAAUUCCUGGUGUAGCGGUGAAAUGCGCAGAUAUCAGGAGGAACACCGGUGGCGAAGGCGGUUCUCUGGGAAUAUCCUGACGCUGAGGAGCGAAAGUGUGGGGAGCGAACAGG
rnacentral:rRNA from 1 species